CGUAGGGUGCGAGCGUUAAUCGGAAUUACUGGGCGUAAAGCGUGCGCAGGCGGUUUAGUAAGACAGGCGUGAAAUCCCCGGGCUCAACCUGGGAACUGCGCUUGUGACUGCUAAGCUAGAGUACGGCAGAGGGGGGUGGAAUUCCACGUGUAGCAGUGAAAUGCGUAGAGAUGUGGAGGAACACCAAUGGCGAAGGCAGCCCCCUGGGUCGAUACUGACGCUCAUGCACGAAAGCGUGGGUAGCAAACAGGAUUAGAUACCCUGGUAGUCCACGCCCUAAACGACUGUCAACUAGGUGUUGGGAGGGCAAAACCUUUUAGUACCGGAGCUAACGCGUGAAGUUGACCGCCUGGGGAGUACGGCCGCCAAGGUUA
rnacentral:rRNA from 1 species